rnacentral:lncRNA from 1 species
UCUAGGUGAUGGAAUAAGAUGUACAACAAACCCCCAUGACACGAUUUACCUAUGUAACAAACCUGCACUUGUACCCUUGAACUUAAAAAAAAAAGUUAAAUAGAAAAUAAAUAAAUAAAAUAAAAUCUAAUGGAAAAUUGGAUAAAAAAGAAAGAGCAGUGUUUUCAACAACACUCCCCCAUGUUAUCACACUGAGCAUUGUUUCCAAAUUGAUUAUGUUCUUUAAUCAAACACCACACUAGCAUUCUUAAAAGCACUGAGAACAAAGCACUAAAGAGUUCUCUGCCACAGUUUGGCUUUUCUUUCAAUGUCUAAUCAAAUCUCACAUAUUUCCUACUGUCUCCCCAGAGGAGUUCUGGGAACUUUUCUUUAUAUUCUCAUCACAUAACCCACCCCAAGAGACAGGAAGGGAGAAAGGAGGAUGGAAGAAACGAAAGGAGAGAGGAAGGGAGGAAACAGGAUAAAGAAAUGCAGAUGGGAGAAGGUUAGAAUGAAGGAGCCAGCAUCACUGGACUGAAUGUCCCUGCAUCCCUGAUCUGUUCAGUGGGACACAGGCAGCCAGGGAGGCAGCCCAGGAGCCUCAGAGACCGCUGGUAGUGGUGUCCUCCUCAGCACUUCUUCCCUGCCUCCCGCACACCUGAGGGUCAGGCCCUUGCAUCUAAUUGGACAGCUGGGUUGGUGAACGUGGCCUGUUCUGCCAGCCGCCUCGUCGGCCACAGUGACAGCUGUAUCACUUCCCUGAUGUGAGUGGGCGCUGAGAAGCGUUGACACAUGAUCAACUUCCCUCUAAUAUCCUUCAACCAACCUGACAGUUGUCCGGCAGGGGCUAGUCAGCUCGCCUGCCAGCCCUCACCGAGGCAUUGUGGGACAGCUUCCUAAGGAAUACAGUCAGGAGAGACUUCAAAUGAGGCCUUUGUUUUCCCCUAGUGUGCUAACUGGGGAAUUGAUUCAAAUCCUGAGGGUGAUGGCUAUGAUAGGGGCUGCUACAUAGGGCCUGGAGGAAUGUAGGUAACAGCAAAUGAUAGCAUUUGAGAGGGCCACUCCAUCUUGCUCUAAGACUAGCUGGGUGGUCUCGUCGAUGCAGGAUGUGGUUCAGAGGAAGACUUCUAUCAGGGAUUUGCAGUUCCAUAGCAACACACGCUUUUUUUUUUCUAUUCUCACAUAUCUUUCCAUCAUGUAGUUUAAGGUGGAAGAAACACUCUCUCGUACCAGGAAAAGUUUGGAAGCCUCAAAGUUGUAAGCAGAAACGUCUCUGUCUUUCCCGAUGACAGCCACAGUCUGAUGGCUCUAUCCUGCUGAGCAUCUUGUCAUCACCCCUGCCAAGUCUCUUAGCCAGGGGGCCCCUCUCUCUCGCUCACCCACUAGCAGGAAGGACAAGGCUAAGUGGGGAUCCAGGAAGCAUGGGUUCACUUAAGGCUCUGUCGCUAUGCUAAGUGAGGCCAGAGACAUCUUGCAGCAUUGAUGAAGAAUCUGGCAUCCAGUGACUGUCAUUCUUUCCUCUGGUUCUGACAUUCUCCAGAUGUCCAUGAGCAGGAGACGAGGACAGCAGCAAACUCCAGCUUAACAUAAGAUGGAGAGGCUGUUGGGAUUUCUGAGGGACCAGAGAUCUUUUGGCUGCAACUCAGAGGAGGGGGUUGAUCCCUCUGAAACAUCUUGCAACCAAAACUCCAUCUUGGCGUCUGCUUCCUUCUGAAGAACUCAACCUGGGACACAGUAAGAGGACAGAUCACCUACCUGUGAGGACCCCUGUGAUUCAG